rnacentral:rRNA from 1 species
AUUGAACGCUGGCGGCAGGCUUAACACAUGCAAGUCGAGCGGAGAUGAGGUGCUUGCACCUUAUCUUAGCGGCGGACGGGUGAGUAAUGCUUAGGAAUCUGCCUAUUAGUGGGGGACAACAUUCCGAAAGGAAUGCUAAUACCGCAUACGUCCUACGGGAGAAAGCAGGGGAUCUUCGGACCUUGCGCUAAUAGAUGAGCCUAAGUCGGAUUAGCUAGUUGGUGGGGUAAAGGCCUACCAAGGCGACGAUCUGUAGCGGGUCUGAGAGGAUGAUCCGCCACACUGGGACUGGAACACGGCCCAGACUCCUACGGGAGGCAGCCGUGGGGAAUAUUGGACAAUGGGGGGAACCCUGAUCCAGCCAUGCCGCGUGUGUAAAGAAGGCCUUAUGGUUGUAAAGCACUUUAAGCGAGGAGGAGGCUACUGAGACUAAUACUCUUGGAUAGUGGACGUUACUCGCAGAAUAAGCACCGGCUAACUCUGUGCCAGCCGCCGCAGUAAUAC